rnacentral:lncRNA from 1 species
CUCAACAUGGAGUAGAAGAUCAAUACUCAAGAACUACACUCGACAAGACAACCAAUGCUGGAACACAUGACCUGCAAAUGAAGGUGGUAGCUAUGAUGGAACAACCUUGAUGAAAUAAAUCACCCGCAAGUUAAGGUUACACUGUUUUUGUACUUUCCAUAUUAUUUGUGGUGUUUUUGUUAAAAUGAAUUAUAGCUUGCAAAGCGCAAAUACCCGAAGACAAUGUUAAGA